GUAAGGAAUAUUGGACAAUGGGCGCAAGCCUGAUCCAGCCAUGCCGCGUGAAGGAUGAAGGCCCUAUGGGUCGUAAACUUCUUUUAUACGGGAAAAAACCCCUUGAUGCGUCGAGGGUUGAUGGUACUGUAAGAAUAAGGGUCGGCUAACUUCGUGCCAGCAGCCGCGGUAAUACGAAGGACCCGAGCGUUAUCCGGAUUUAUUGGGUUUAAAGGGUGCGUAGGCGGAUUAGUAAGUCAGUGGUGAAAGCCUCUCGCUCAACGGGAGAACUGCCAUUGAUACUGCUAGUCUUGAGUAUGGUUGAGGUGGGCGGAAUGUGUCAUGUAGCGGUGAAAUGCUUAGAUAUGACACAGAACACCGAUUGCGAAGGCAGCUCGCUAAGCCAUAACUGACGCUGAGGCACGAAAGCGUGGGGAGCAAACAGGAUUAGAAACCCUUGUAGUCC
rnacentral:rRNA from 1 species